rnacentral:rRNA from 1 species
AAUCAACGCUGGCGGCGUGCCUCAGACAUGCAAGUCGAACGAUUAAGACUUCCUUCGGGAAGUGUAUAAAGUGGCGCACGGGUGAGUAACACGUAAGUAAUCUACCUUCGAGUGGGGAAUAACAUCGGGAAACCGAUGCUAAUACCGCAUAAUGCAGCGGCAUCGCAAGAUGAAAGUUGUUAAAGGAGCAAUUCGCUUGAAGAGGAGCUUGCGGCAGAUUAGCUAGUUGGUAAGGUAAUGGCUUACCAAGGCUACGAUCUGUAACUGGUCUGAGAGGAUGAUCAGUCACACUGGAACUGAGACACGGUCCAGACUCCUACGGGAGGCAGCAGUGGGGAAUAUUGGACAAUGGGCGAAAGCCUGAUCCAGCCAUGCCGCGUGUGUGAAGAAGGUCUUCGGAUUGUAAAGCACUUUAAGUUGGGAGGAGGGCAGUAAGUUAAUACCUUGCUGUUUUGACGUUACCAACAGAAUAAGCACCGGCUAACUUCGUGCCAGCCGCCGCAGUAACAC